ACCCCAUAGUUUGGACAUUCUCUUAUGAUGUCCUUGUAUCUCUCCCAUGCUUCAUAGAGAUUUUCUCCAUAAACAUUCUGAAGUUAGAGAUUUCAGCUCUAACAUU